rnacentral:rRNA from 1 species
UACGGAGGGUGCAAGCGUUAUCCGGAUUUACUGGGUUUAAAGGGUGCGUAGGCGGGUUGAUAAGUCAGGGGUGAAACCUCCGAGCUUAACUCGGAAACUGCCUUUGAUACUAUCAGUCUUGAAUUCAGUUGAGGUGGGCGGAAUGUGUCGUGUAGCGGUGAAAUGCUUAGAUAUGACACAGAACACCAAUUGCGAAGGCAGCUCGCUAAACUGACAUUGACGCUGAGCACGAAAGCGUGGGGAGCAAACAGG